ensembl:lncRNA
AUGAAUUGAUCCUGGCAAAAACAUCAAAAUGGCACCCAAGCAAAAUACACAAAUAAGGUUUUGUUUGUUAUUGCUGCGACCGUCAACGGCUGUCAUCCCAUCCUGGCCAAAAGAGGACGAAGGUUAAGGUUACUGACUGCAAGUCAUCGGCCUACAACUUAGAGGUGCAAUUAAGCUUUAGCAGUCCAUUUUACAAAUUUAACAAGCCGUAACCUAGUAGGCACCCACAACACACAAACAAUUAUAGUAUUAAGAUGUGUUCUUUUUCUCUUCCACAGGUUUUGUUUGUUAUUGCUACGACCUUCAACGACUGCUGUCAUCCCAUCCUGGCCAAAAGAGGACGAAGGUUAAGGUUACUGACUGCAAGUCAUCGGCCUACAACUUAGAGGUGCAAUUAAGCUUUAGCAGUCCAUUUUACUAAUUUAACAAGACGUAACCUAGUAGGCACCCACAACACACAAAAAAAUAUAGUAUUAAGAUGUGUUCUUUUUCUCUUCCACAGGUUUUGUUUGUUAUUGCUACGACCUUCAACGACUGCUGUCAUCCCAUCCUGGCCAAAAGAGGACGAAGGUGCGAGAAUAUGGCCCAUCCCCCUUCUAGAUAGUUAAUUUUAUGCUUUUGGUGAACAAUGUUCCAAUGUAAAUUUAGUCUGUGCGAGCAUGUGUCUGAGACUACUGUUCAGUUUAUUCAGCACGCAAAGUUG